rnacentral:rRNA from 1 species
GGAGUUAGCCGGUGCUUCUUCUGUGAGUGAUGUCCUUCCUGCCGGCUAUUAACCCGCAGGCCUUCUUCCUCACUGAAAGUGCUUUACAACCCGAAGGCCUUCUUCACACACGCGGCAUGGCUGGAUCAGGGUUGCCCCCAUUGUCCAAUAUUCCCCACUGCUGCCUCCCGUAGGAGUCUGGGCCGUGUCUCAGUCCCAGUGUGGCUGAUCAUCCUCUCAGACCAGCUACGGAUCGUCGCCUUGGUGAGCCGUUACCUCACCAACCAGCUAAUCCGACAUAGGCUCAUCCGAUAGCGCGAGGCCCGAAGGUCCCCCGCUUUCCCCCGUAGGGCGUAUGCGGUAUUAGCCUGGGUUUCCCCAGGUUAUCCCCCACUACCGGGCAGAUUCCUAUGCAUUACUCACCCGUCCGCCGCUCGCCACCAGGGAGCAAGCUCCCCGUGCUGCCUCUCGACUUGCAUGUGUUAGGCCUGCCGCCAGCGUUCAAUCUGAGCCAUAAUCAAACUCUGA